rnacentral:rRNA from 1 species
UACGGGGGGGGCAAGCGUUGUUCGGAAUUACUGGGCGUAAAGGGCUCGUAGGCGGCCAACUAAGUCAGACGUGAAAUCCCUCGGCUUAACCGGGGAACUGCGUCUGAUACUGGAUGGCUUGAGUUCGGGAGAGGGAUGCGGAAUUCCAGGUGUAGCGGUGAAAUGCGUAGAUAUCUGGAGGAACACCGGUGGCGAAGGCGGCCUUCUGGACAGUGACUGACGCUGAGACGCGAAAGCGUGGGGAGCAAACAGGG